GAAUAAUUUGCUUGCUUGUCACACAUGAUCAAGGCCAUGUUUUUCUUCUACCUCAAAUAAGCCAAUACAAACCUCUUGGACCUUAAUGAAAGAUGUUUGCCCUCUUUGAACCUCAAACCUAAUGAAAAUUCCCUGAUUUCCCUACCUUGAGCUGAAUAGAGAAUUCAUGUUUGCUGCAGGAGAAUGGUUUAAAGUUUGGGGGAGUUUGUUAUGUAAGGGUGAAUUGAGAAAAAUAAAAAUAAAAAAAAUGAGGAAAAAGAAGAAAGAAAAAGAUAAAGAAAAAGAAUUGAAUGAAAGAAAGUUGGGCUAUAAGUCAGAAAGUGGUUGCAACUUAAGUGAAGCAAAAGAGAAACUUACAUGCAUGAUUGGAAUUGUUUAAUCUCUUAGCUCAAGGUGCUUUGUUAUCCAUAAAAACCAUGUUUCUUUCUUAGCCCAACCUCAAUACAAGCCAAUGAAAGUCCUUGUGAUGUUGACUUGCUUGUGAAUGUGUUUAAUUUGAUUGAAAC
rnacentral:lncRNA from 1 species